rnacentral:miRNA from 1 species
GCAGACACAUUCCAGCCAAUCAGCAGCAGACCCUCCCUCCCAGACCCUCCCACCUCCUGGACAGCAUCCAUUUUGCAUUCAUUGUGAAGCUGCAUUCUUAGUGAGCUGUCCAGGAGGUGGGAGGGUCUGGGAGGGAGGGUCUGCUGCUGAUUGGCUGGAAUGUGUCUG